GACAGAGGGGGCAAGCGUUGCUCGGAAUCACUGGGCGUAAAGGGUGCGUAGGCGGGAUGGCAAGUCAGUCGUGAAAUCUCUCGGCUCAACCGAGAAACGUCGGCUGAUACUGCCGUUCUUGAGGGAUGCAGAGGAGACUGGAAUUCCCGGUGUAGCGGUGAAAUGUGUAGAGAUCGGGAGGAACACCGGUGGCGAAGGCGGGUCUCUGGGCAUUUCCUGACGCUGAGGCGCGAAAGCGUGGGGAGCAAACGGG
rnacentral:rRNA from 1 species